GGAUUGUGGAUCAGUGGUAGAGCGCUUGCCUAGCAUGGCGGGACCUGGGUUCGAUCCCCAGCACCA
rnacentral:tRNA from 1 species